UACGUAGGGGGCAAGCGUUGUCCGGAUUUAUUGGGCGUAAAGAGCGUGUAGGCGGCCUGACAGGUCUGCUGUGAAACUCGAGGCUCAACCUCGAGAUGUCGGCGGAAACCGUCUGGCUAGAGUCCGGAAGAGGAGAGUGGAAUUCCUGGUGUAGCGGUGAAUGCGCAGAUAUCAGGAAGAACACCUAUGGCGAAGGCAGCUCUCUGGGACGGUACUGACGCUGAGACGCGAAAGCGUGGGGAGGCGAACAGG
rnacentral:rRNA from 1 species